rnacentral:rRNA from 1 species
GAUGAACGCUAGCGGGAGGCCUAACACAUGCAAGCCGAGCGGUAUUGUUUCUUCGGAAAUGAGAGAGCGGCGUACGGGUGCGUAACACGUGUGCAACCUGCCUUUAUCUGGGGGAUAGCCUUUCGAAAGGAAGAUUAAUACUCCAUAAUAUAUUGAACGGCAUCGUUUAAUAUUGAAAGCUCCGGCGGAUAGAGAUGGGCACGCGCAAGAUUAGCUAGUUGGUGAGGUAACGGCUCACCAAGGCGAUGAUCUUUAGGGGGCCUGAGAGGGUGGUCCCCCACACUGGUACUGAGACGCGGACCAGACUCCUACGGGAGGCAGCAGUGAGGAAUAUUGGUCAAUGGGUGCAAGCCUGAACCAGCCAUCCCGCGUGAAGGACGACUGCCCUAUGGGUUGUAAACUUCUUUUGUAUAGGGAUAAACCUACCCUCGUGAGGGUAGCUGAAGGUACUAUACGAAUAAGCACCGGCUAACUCCGUGCCAGCAGCCGCUGUAA